rnacentral:lncRNA from 1 species
UGAGUUUGAGCUCCUGGGCGGAGAUUUUUGUUGCCUUGUAACUGGGAUUCCUAGAUCCAGCCUCCACCCUCUGAUUGCCCUAAGGAGGUUUUGGGGUUUUGUUUUGUUUUGUUUGUGUUUUUGUAGGAUGGUGGCAGUGAUUUUGAGGAGGGGAAGAGGAAGGAAGAUACAAGCAAGGGAAGUCACAGGCUGUGGUGCCUAGGCAGACCCUGGUUUGAAUCUUGGCCUUACCACUUUUUGCAUGUAAGUGGUAGGGGCAGCAGAUAGCUCAGGACAUAUCUUGGGUUUUUUUGUUUUUGUUUUGAGACAUAGUCUCACUCUGUUGCAGUGAGCCGAGAUGGCACCACUGCACUCCAGCCUGGGUAACAGAGCAAGACUCUGUCUUAA